CCUCGGUUAGGGUAGUCCAUGCUCGACAUUUCAUUCGUCCGGCAAUCGCCCGCACCAUCAUUAUCUUUAUUGAUUCUCCAGAUUGCCAAAGAAGUUCAAACGAGAUUUCGGAAACGCGUUCCUGGCACGUGAUGGAACGAGCAUAUAUUUGAUUACCAUUUCGGUGCUAUUCAGUGCCACUAUCAAAAUGUGUGGUGCAAAAAAAGUUGGCAAACUCCCGGCGGGCUUUUAAAGAUCUUCCCGUGGAGCGGAAUCCGAAUCCGCUGGACUGAGUGCCGAAGAAUGUGCGUGAGAAGUGCAGGCCAAACAAGCGGAGCAGGCAACUAAAAACAAAACGCACAACAGGGAGCAGCGCCGAAAGACGAGAAAAGGGCUCAAAACGAGUACCAAUGCAGCUGGCCGGCCAGUUGGGAAUUUUCGCCGGUGGAGGAGGCGAAACUCGGCGGAGCAUAAAGGCCAAAGCGCUGCCUAAGAAAAGAAAUUAUUUGCUUAAGCGACGGCAAAAGGACCUUGUCCGGAGCUUCCUUUUUCCCGGAACAAAGCACAACCACCCACUCACACACACCCGCACACCUAUACACAC